rnacentral:tRNA from 1 species
ACCUGGCUGGCUCAGUUGGUAGAGCACAGGACUCUUGAUCUCCAGUUGUGAGUUCGAGCCCCACAUUGGGUG